CACUUAUCCAGAGAGAUGGAGGGACUGGCCCUUUGAAACCUCGGCAACAGGCUGUACGGUACUGUGCCAAUUCCAGGAAGCCAAAGGCUUUGAAGAUAAGAA
rnacentral:ncRNA from 2 species